CGGAGGUGGCAAGCGUUGCUCGGAUUCAUUGGGUGUAAAGGGUCGGUAGGCGGUUUCAUAAGUGCUUGGUGAAAUCCCGCAGCUUAACUGCGGAACGCCCAGGUAGACUGUGAGACUUGAGGGCUGGAGAGGCAGACGGAAUUCCCGGUGUAAGGGUGAAAUCUGUAGAUAUCGGGAGGAACACCAGAGGCGAAGGCGGUCUGCUGGACAGCAUCUGACGCUGAGCGACGAAAGCGUGGGGAGCAAACAGGAUUAGAUACCCUGGUAGUCCACGCUGUAAACGUUGAGGACUAGGUGUUGGCUCAAUUAGAGUCGGUGCCGCAGGUAACCCAUUAAGUCCUCCACCUGGGGAGUACGUCCGCAAGGAUG
rnacentral:rRNA from 1 species